AUGAACGCACAGGAGGCGUGCCAAUGGCACGCCCCAGCCACUACCACAUUGUCUCCUAUGUACUUUACCUCCUUUGCUCCUGGUAUCAUCCCAUACUCCGGCUUCGCCACCGAGGUAUUGCAGAUCUACUCCUUCAAAAUCUUUGAUCUAGAUGACAGCUUGAAUUGGCCACUCUAUGUGUACGGCGUAGUUGCUGCUCGAGACUCUGUGGAUGGUAACCGCAACCUUCUCUUCUCUCGCUCCAGCGCUAACUGCCAAGUACUCACUGAAAAGGAAAUAGAGGGGCUCAGUGUCUGGCAGUCUCCUGUUUCGACCUUCUAA
rnacentral:rRNA from 1 species